UAGUCACAACAAUUUUCGAAAUGCACUCGCUUUUUUAUUUUUUAUACAAAAUGGCUACCUGACAAACUAGACCCUUAAUUAUCCUCCUAAUGAGAGAGAAUUGGUUUCACGUAAAAUUUGAGUUAGUCUAUUUGCAUCAAAUCUCUAUGUUUUGAGACCCCCUGAGUCACAGAAAACGAAUUUCACGAACAUUUUUGUCUGUAUGGCUAUUUGUAGUACUGCAAAUUUGUUAUACAUUGUUUUUUGAUAAGGCGAAAGAGAAAUAACAAAAGAGAAUUCAUAAUCACGAAUAUUCAUGUGUCAAUGGUUCGACCUUCAAUGUUAAAAAUCCUAUUACAAAAAUGUAGCAUAUAUCCCGCGUGAUUUUAAAUACGAAAUUGGGUGUCAAAAUUGUGUUAUUAAUAAUAAUACACUUAUCGCGAUAGGGUUAUAAAUUCUGAUAAAUUAUCUCAAUAAAUGGAAAAAGAGCUAGUAAUGAAUUUAUCUCCUUUUGUUUUCUGAGGUGAUAUGCAAAUUCGGGUUUGAAUGUCGUCAAUUGAAAUGUGAAAAAAAUUAAGGUUUUCUGCUUGAUAACAUUUGCUAGGCAUAUUACAAAACAUUAUACUUAAACAUUCUCAAUUUCAGCAAAAUAACGAAAGACUUAUUUUCGAAAGAAAAAAUGUUCAAAGUUCCACGUUUCAGCACUAACUUCACAUUAAAUUUUUUACUUUUAAUCUUAAUUUUCUACUACCCCCCCCCCUCCAACCCCCUCUCUUGGAAUGGUUUGCCUUGCAACCAUUCAACUGUGACCAGGUUACAGGAUGAUUGUCCCCUCGCUUCUGCCAUUCAUACCAAAGUCGUGUGCUGAAAACUACUGCACAUGUAUAGCAACAAUUUUUUCGUCACUGAUGUGGGUUUUCUGCCCUGAGGAUGUAACAUUUAUUAAGCAAACAAAGAUCGAACCAAAGCUCAAAGCGGGAGAAGAGAAACCAGUUACUGCUGAAUUUCCUGAUUUUUUUCAACUCGAAAAAGCAGCAAUUAAGUGGAAUUAUACAACCCAACCAGAAGAAGGAUCGUACUUGAUAAACAAAGGAUGCAGCCUGCCGUAUUGAAAAAUCGUUCAACAGAACCCAAUCUAUGAUGAAACGGGGGGUAUCAAACAGUAUCAAAAUCUCCUAUUCUCUCGCCAUCAAGAAAAAUAAUGAAAGAAGCUUUCAACGAACUCGGUUAUCCAACGAUAGAUGUUAAAGGCGCAAGUCAAUCAGGAAUAACUAAUACACAAUUAACUACAGACAAUGGAGUUCGUAAAAGUACCAAUGCAGCAUUUAUUCGUCCAAUCAGGGGAACAAGGCCCAACCUAAUUGUUAAGAAUGAGAUCUACGUAACUAGAAUUUUGAUAAAUCCGUGUUCAGAAAAAACUAAUGGGGUUGAAUAUACAUAUAUAAAAACUGGUAUUACUGAGGUAGGUCAGCUGGUGCUAUAAACUCGCCAAGGCUACUAAUUGUUUCGGGUGUGGGACCAGAUGAGGAACUUGAAAAACAUGGAAUCAAAGUCAUUCAGAAUUUAUCGGUCGGAGAAAAUCUUCAGGAUCAUAUAUCUACUGAAAGAGUAUUUGGAAUAAGAAUAACUUUGAAUUCAGAUGAUAAUAUUGACGAAUGUGAAGAGAAAUUUUAAAACUUUAGUUAUUAUGCAGAAGCGCAAAAAGGUACUUUUUCCAUUGUAACACCAGCGUAUCUCAGUGGUUUUGUCCGCUCUAAUUCAGGGUAUCGGAAUUGUACUUAGUAUAUUCAAUACCACAAUUAUAAAAAAGUAUAAAUUCGAAAUUGAUGAUACCCCUAUGCGUCCUUGCGAUAAAUUAAAAUUUAACUCAGAUGAAUAUUGGAUGUGUGUGGUAAGAUAGUUAGGGUUUUCUGUUCGUCAUCUUGUUGGAACAUGCAAAGUGGGUCCUAGGGAGAUUCGAAAGCUGUUGUUGAUCCAAGGUUACAAGUUUAUGGAAUGAAGGGAUUAAGAGUUAUCUACGCAUCUGUUAUUCCAGUU